rnacentral:rRNA from 1 species
UGGGGAAUAUUGGACAAUGGGGGGAACCCUGAUCCAGCCAUGCCGCGUGUGUGAAGAAGGCCUUAUGGUUGUAAAGCACUUUAAGCGAGGAGGAGGGUACUGGUAUUAAUACUACCAGGUACUGGACGUUACUCGCAGAAUAAGCACCGGCUAACUCUGUGCCAGCAGCCGCGGUAAUACAGAGGGUGCGAGCGUUAAUCGGAUUUACUGGGCGUAAAGCGUGCGUAGGCGGCUAAUUGAGUCGGAUGUGAAAUCACCGAAAGUAAAUUGGGAAUAUCAUUCGUUACUGGUUAGCUUGAGUGGGGGAGAUGAUGGUAGAAGUCCAGGUGGAGCAGUGAAAUGCGUAGAGAUCUGGAGGAAUACCGAUGGAGAAGGCAGCCAUCUGGAAGAACACCGACGCUGAGGUACGCAAAAAUGGGGAGCAAAAAGG